ensembl:lncRNA
AUGCCUCUAUUGUGCUGCCCUGCAGACGUGAUUGUAGUCCCCGACACUGGACUCUCCUGGCUAACUGCUAUCUGUAGCUGUGUGUCCGCCUGGGGUUUUCCGACCUCCAGCAGAACGGAGGAGAGCCCCAGCCGUGAGGCGGCAGGACUACAGAGAAUGUGUCCUCGGGGCCUGCGGCGGGAAGAUGGAGUCUCGACUGCUAACUGGCUUCGUUUUGAGCCGAACAGCUGUUGAAAAGCCUGAUUGCACUAAAUUGUAUAUCCGGUUCCACCAUGGACUUCAGCACAUCAGUUAAUGAUCACAGCGUCCUGAAAAACUUAACUCACUGUAUUCACUUAAUUCACUGCAGUGCCUCCUUUCCUCAGAUGACCACUGUUGCUUUCUCUACAUUGGGCAAUCUUGUUUGUUCAGGAAGAGACUCCAGGAAAUUCUGACUCUAACAGACAGUGGGGUUAAGCUCUGCCAGCUGGGAAAGGGAGCACAGUUUCAAUCCUGCGACCUGCCACCUUUGUUAACCAUGCAGUGAUACUACAGUAACUAGUCUGCUCAGAUCAGUAAUGGACGGAUUUUCCACCAUAAAUACCAGUUUGUAGCCAUACAUACAACAGCGGAGCAUGGAUGAGCACAGUCAUAAGGCCUCCCUCCUCCCACUAGAAAAAAGCUUGAGUCAAAUCCCACUGUGAUCUGUUAAGAUGCUCCUGUUCUCAGCUGUCUAUUCUUUCCCUCUGCUGAUGAUUAUCAGGACCAGCAGAAUGAAACAUGCGCCCACCCUCAUGCUUUGGCACAAAGCAUAGCGUCGCUUGAUUAAACUGCUGGGACGACGGGUUUGAGCCAAGUCACCAGACUCUGAGCUGCAGUUGGUGAGGAUAGGAACACAUCUUCCAUUCUGCUUAUUCUGCCACAGUGAAAGCAAUCUCUAUCAGAAGGAUGGGGUAUAACAGAUGGAGCUAUAACUUAUACCACUUUGCAACAGUUCCUAAAGCUCAUGGGUCAAGGAUGGUGCAAGACUGCUUGUGCGGUAUUAGUAAGAGAAAUUUAUGUAUGAACAUACAAUGUGAAAUAGGCCUGCUGAGGAGCAAAAGCUGCAUAGUGUAUAAUGUUUAUCUUGCGUUAAUCAAGUCAUAAUGUACUUAACACUGUAUUUGUUUUCACUUGCUGGCAAAACUCCCCACAGGUGUUUUAUUCUGCCUUACAGCAGUUAAAAAUGUGAGAAAUGUAUAAAAAUUGUUUAAAAAAGAUCUAUUAAUUGUGAAAUUGCCUGGUUUAUCAUAUAAUAAACCAUGGGGGCUUGUCAGAGGGAUCACACUAAUCCAUAGUGUGAAACAGGUCAGAUCCCUUCCUACAGUCACUAGCUUUAACAAAGCUGUCUUUGAUACCUCAGCUCAGGUAUUUUCAGCUUAAAUGCAGAAGCCUUGCAUACAAAGCCUGUAAGAUGUGGGGUGUCUUUCCUGCCCCUCCAUUCUGCAUUUCUGUCUUAGUGGGGUCUGAAAAAUAUGCUGCUCAUGUACAGUUACACUGAUGUUCAUGGAAAUUGCAGGUACCUCAUUUCUGGAAAUCAAACCCUGGUGCUUUUUCAGCCUCAGGGAACUGUAUUUCCUUGCCAUAGGAUAACAGAGAGGUCAGAAGGCUUUGCGAUCCUUGGACAGAAGACUGUGUAGAAUAAUAGAAUGAACUGGGGAAAAAAAAUGUGCUGAAUGCAUCUGGGAGUUUUUUGUGCAUACUAGACAAUAUAUUCUAUACUCACUUUCUGUGACUAAGUUUACUGUUACCGAGGCCUAGAAUUAGCCAAAUAAAACAGCAGGGAAG